AACACCCCAAGCACCAGAAUUGUUUAUUGCAUGUAGUACGCUUUAAUAAAUUUACCAGAGUCCCGCUGUGAACCAUCAGCUACAUCCCCUGCAUCUGGUCUAAUCUGGACUGCUCUAUAGGCAAGGCCAUAAAGAACCAUGCUCAGGUGCCAAUAAAACGACCUGCAUCAGCUGUAUUGGUGAAGACCACAUUCAGGUGAUUUGAUCUCAGGCACCUGUCGGAAACCAAGUAAGUCUGAGAAC